rnacentral:rRNA from 1 species
GACGAACGCUGGCGGCGUGCUUAACACAUGCAAGUCGAACGGAAAGGCCCUGCUUUUGUGGGGUGCUCGAGUGGCGAACGGGUGAGUAACACGUGAGUAACCUGCCCUUGACUUUGGGAUAACUUCAGGAAACUGGGGCUAAUACCGGAUAGGAGCUCCUGCUGCAUGGUGGGGGUUGGAAAGUUUCGGCGGUUGGGGAUGGACUCGCGGCUUAUCAGCUUGUUGGUGGGGUAGUGGCUUACCAAGGCUUUGACGGGUAGCCGGCCUGAGAGGGUGACCGGCCACAAUGGGACUGAGAUACGGCCCAGACUCCUACGGGAGGCAGCAGUGGGGAAUAUUGCACAAUGGGCGGAAGCCGGAUGCAGCAACGCCGCGUGCGGGAUGACGGCCUUCGGGUUGUAAACCGCUUUCGCCUGUGACGAAGCGUGAGUGACGGUAAUGGGUAAAGAAGCACCGGCUAACUACGUG